CUCCUUCAGAGACUUCGGUCUACACUACUUCGACAAAGUUUAAGUUCGUCGGGUUAAUUUAAGACUUUACUAUAUGCAUACAACCUAAGGGAAUUUCUUAAUAAAAGGUCUGACAUGACCGAACCCAUCAGUUGGUUCCUAAGCACGGUGCAGCUGCACCCCAUGGAUUUCAGAAGCGGUGAACAUGCUCUGUUUUGCAGAGUAGCCACAACUUGAUUCUAGACAAUUUUUAACGUAUUCAUGCACGAAGGUAAACUUUCUAAACACCCUUUAUCUUGCUAAUUAAUCAUACUUGACCUAAUAAUCUGAAAAAUGAG
rnacentral:lncRNA from 1 species